UCCCUUUAGACCAUACUCAAAAUAGACCCAUUAUGAUCUUAGAUCGGUUUUUUUGCUUCCCAGAAUAUCAAAGUUCUAGGAUUGGUAGCAAUAUGCAAGGAGUCGGCCUCUUCAUAAAUAUGGAACCUAAAACUGGGCAUUUGGAGAGAGGCUAGAUGGUAGCAGCACAGAAGUUGAGAAGGCGUGCACGAAAAAGUGUCACUGUAGAUCAGCGGCAUCAGCCACAAUUGUCCAUUGCCUCGAUCCAAAAUAAGGCAUCAAAUGACAAUCAGAGGAAAAAAGAAUAUCCUUUGAGUACAUUCCCAGCCUCAGGUGCUUACAUUCUUCAAGAUCAGAUUCAGCUUGAGAUUGAUUAACCAAUGUGCCCAUGCUUCAUAGACUACAGGUUCUUGCUACUGGGAGGGAAAAGGAGUUGCUUGGUUUGCUGCAGUUUUGGUGUUCUCUUAUUACUGGAUCUUCAAACAAAUGGAAUCUUCAUUUAUUGAUCAAGUGAUCAGACUGCUUGAAGGUUUUCUGAUUCUUUUGCUGGGGCUAUGGUGGUUGAUUUUGUUUCCUUCUAGCUGCUGCUGCCUUGAAGAAGGCAUAGUCCUGUUCCCAAGUAUUGCAGAUUUUCUUUUAUAUUUUCUCCUUUGAUGUUGAUGCUUGAGAUGCUAGGUUGUGUGUGUGUUUGCUGCUAUGGAUGGCCAGUCAUGGUUGGUGUGGUUGGAUUGUUGAAGUCAGUUCAAGGAAAUAAUUCUGGGGUUUUGAUGCUGCCCAAGGUGUUGGCUUGCUUCUGAACCUCAAGUUGGCUUGAAGUCCAACCGCGGUUAUGGCGGAUGAAAGAGAUGAUAGUGAUGGAUGGGAUGAGGUUCCUCCUGCAGCAGCAGGUGUAUAUCUGCGAGUUUUAAGUUCGUAUGAAUUUGUCAAUUGGGUUUGUGGUUUUUGUUUUCGUGGAUACGAAGAAGAAUCCAAUCUCGCACUAUGUUUAGACUCGAGUAAAGAAGUCAAAAAUCGAAUUUAAAAUAGUUCUUUUGCCUACUCUGUUUGGUUCUUACUUUUUAGUAGGGACUAGGGAAUGACAAGGAAAAGAAUCAAAGAAAAAUUAGAGAGAACAAUUUUCCACCUCUUA